rnacentral:rRNA from 1 species
AGAGUUUGAUCAUGGCUCAGAGCGAACGUUAGCGGCGCGCCUAACACAUGCAAGUCGCACGAGAAAGGGCUUCGGCCCCGGUAAAGUGGCGCACGGGUGCGUAACACGUGGGCAAUCUACCCUAAGGCGGGGGAUAACGUCCCGAAAGGGACGCUAAUACCGCAUGAGACCACGGACCCUUCGGGGACUGAGGUCAAAGCUGGCCUCUUCAUGAAAGCUAGCACCUUAGGACGAACCCGCGGCCCAUCAGCUAGUUGGUAGGGUAAUGGCCUACCAAGGCUAAGACGGGUAGCUGGUCUGAGAGGAUGAUCAGCCACACUGGAACUGAAACACGGUCCAGACUCCUACGGGAGGCAGCAGUGGGGAAUAUUGGACAAUGGGCGAAAGCCUGAUCCAGCGACGCCGCGUGAGUGAUGAAGGCCUUCGGGUUGUAAAGCUCUGUUGAGGGAGAAGAAAACGUUUGGCGUGAAUAACUCCAGACCUUGACGGUAUCCCUUUAGAAAGCACCGGCUAACUCUGUGCCAGCAGCCGCGGUAAGACAGAGGGUGCGAACGUUGCUCGGAAUUACUGGGCGUAAAGCGCGUGUAGGCGGACUAGUAAGUCGGACGUGAAAUCCCUGGGCUCAACCCAGGAACUGCAUCCGAAACUAUUAGUCUGGAGUGGUGGAGAGGAAAGCAGAAUUCCUGGUGUAGAGGUGAAAUUCGUAGAUAUCAGGAGGAACACCGGUGGCGAAGGCGGCUUUCUGGACACUAACUGACGCUGAGACGCGAAAGCGUGGGGAGCAAACAGGAUUAGAUACCCUAGUAGUCC